GAUGAACGCUAGCGGCAGGCUUAACACAUGCAAGUCGAGGGGUAGGAGAAGCUUGCUUUUCUGAGACCGGCGCACGGGUGCGUAACGCGUAUGCAAUCUACCUUUCACAGAGGGAUAGCCCAGAGAAAUUUGGAUUAAUACCUCAUAGUAAUACGACUUGGCAUCAAGAUGUAUUUAAAGAUUUAUCGGUGAAAGAUGAGCAUGCGUCCCAUUAGCUAGUUGGUAUGGUAACGGCAUACCAAGGCAACGAUGGGUAGGGGUCCUGAGAGGGAGAUCCCCCACACUGGUACUGAGACACGGACCAGACUCCUACGGGAGGCAGCAGUGAGGAAUAUUGGACAAUGGGCGCAAGCCUGAUCCAGCCAUGCCGCGUGCAGGAUGACGGUCCUAUGGAUUGUAAACUGCUUUUAUACAGGAAGAAACACCUCUACGUGUAGAGACUUGACGGUACUGUAAGAAUAAGGAUCGGCUAACUCCGUGCCAGCAGCCGCGGUAAUACGGAGGAUCCAAGCGUUAUCCGGAAUCAUUGGGUUUAAAGGGUCCGUAGGCGGUCAGGUAAGUCAGUGGUGAAAGCCCAUCGCUCAACGGUGGAACGGCCAUUGAUACUGUCUGACUUGAAUUAUUAGGAAGUAACUAGAAUAUGUAGUGUAGCGGUGAAAUGCUUAGAGAUUACAUGGAAUACCAAUUGCGAAGGCAGGUUACUACUAAUUGAUUGACGCUGAUGGACGAAAGCGUGGGUAGCGAACAGGAUUAGAUACCCUGGUAGUCCACGCCGUAAACGAUGGAUACUAGCUGUUGGGAGCAAUCUCAGUGGCUAAGCGAAAGUGAUAAGUAUCCCACCUGGGGAGUACGAACGCAAGUUUGAAACUCAAAGGAAUUGACGGGGGCCCGCACAAGCGGUGGAGCAUGUGGUUUAAUUCGAUGAUACGCGAGGAACCUUACCAAGGCUUAAAUGUAGAUUGACCGGUUGGAAACAGACU
rnacentral:rRNA from 1 species